rnacentral:rRNA from 1 species
GAAAUGCGUAGAGAUGCGGAGGAACACCGAUGGCGAAGGCAGCCCCCUGGGCUAACACUGACGCUCAGGCACGAAAGCGUGGGGAGCAAACAGGAUUAGAUACCCUGGUAGUCCACGCCCUAAACCAUGUCAACUGGGUGUUCGGGAAGCGAUUUCUGAGUACCGUAGCUAACGCGUGAAGUUGACCGCCUGGGGAGUACGGCCGCAAGGUUAAAACUCAAAGGAAUUGACGGGGACCCGCACAAGCGGUGGAUGAUGUGGAUUAAUUCGAUGCAACGCGAACAACCUUACCUACCCUUGACAUGUCUGGAAGGCCCCUGAGAGGGGGUUGUGCCCGAAAGGGAACCGGAACACAGGUGCUGCAUG